rnacentral:rRNA from 1 species
AAUCAACGCGGGCGGCGUGCUAACACAUGCAAGUCGAACGGGAAAGUGGAGCAAUCCAUGAGUAUAGUGGCGACCGGGUGAGUAACACGUGACUACCUACCCUUGAGUGGGGGAUAACCUCGGGAAACCGAGGCUAAUACCGCAUAAUAUCGAGAGAUCAAAGGAGAAAUCCGCUUUUGGAGGGGGUCGCGGCUGAUUAGCUAGUUGGUAGGGUAAUGGCCUACCAAGGCGAAGAUCGGUAUCCGGCCUGAGAGGGCGCACGGACACACUGGAACUGAAACACGGUCCAGACUCCUACGGGAGGCAGCAGUGGGGAAUUUUGCGCAAUGGGGGAAACCCUGACGCAGCAACGCCGCGUGGAGGAUGAAGCCCCUUGGGGCGUAAACUCCUUUCGACUGGGAAAAUAAUGAUGGUACCAGUGGAAGAAGCACCGGCUAACUCUGUGCCAGCAGCCGCGGUAAUACAGAGGGUGCGAGCGUUGUUCGGAAUUAUUGGGCGUAAAGGGCGCGUAGGCGGUGUUGUAAGUCACCUGUGAAACCUCUAGGCUUAACCUAGAGCCUGCAGGCGAAACUGCAA